GACGAACGCUGGCGGCGUGCUUAACACAUGCAAGUCGAACGGAAAGGCCCUGCUUUUGUGGGGUGCUCGAGUGGCGAACGGGUGAGUAACACGUGAGUAACCUGCCCUUGACUUUGGGAUAACUUCAGGAAACUGGGGCUAAUACCGGAUAGGAGCUCCUGCUGCAUGGUGGGGGUUGGAAAGUUUCGGCGGUUGGGGAUGGACUCGCGGCUUAUCAGCUUGUUGGUGGGGUAGUGGCUUACCAAGGCUUUGACGGGUAGCCGGCCUGAGAGGGUGACCGGCCACAUUGGGACUGAGAUACGGCCCAGACUCCUACGGGAGGCAGCAGUGGGGAAUAUUGCACAAUGGGCGGAAGCCUGAUGCAGCAACGCCGCGUGCGGGAUGACGGCCUUCGGGUUGUAAACCGCUUUCGCCUGUGACGAAGCGUGAGUGACGGUAAUGGGUAAAGAAGCACCGGCUAACUACGUGCCAGCAGCCGCGGUGAUACGUGGGGUGCGAGCGUUGUCCGGAUUUAUUGGGCGUAAAGGGCUCGUAGGUGGUUGAUCGCGUCGGAAGUGUAAUCUUGGGGCUUAACCCUGAGCGUGCUUUCGAUACGGGUUGACUUGAGGAAGGUAGGGGAGAAUGGAAUUCCUGGUGGAGCGGUGGAAUGCGCAGAUAUCAGGAGGAACACCAGUGGCGAAGGCGGUUCUCUGGGCCUUUCCUGACGCUGAGGAGCGAAAGCGUGGGGAGCGAACAGGCUUAGAUACCCUGGUAGUCCACGCUGUAAACGGUGGGUACUAGGUGUGGGGUCCAUUCCACGGGUUCCGUGCCGUAGCUAACGCUUUAAGUACCCCGCCUGGGGAGUACGGCCGCAAGGCUAAAACUCAAAGGAAUUGACGGGGCCCCGCACAAGCGGCGGAGCAUGCGGAUUAAUUCGAUGCAACGCGUAGAACCUUACCCGGGUUUGACAUGGAUCGGGAGCGCUCAGAGAUGGGUGUGCCUCUUUUGGGGUCGGUUCACAGGUGGUGCAUGGCUGUCGUCAGCUCGUGUCGUGAGAUGUUGGGUUAAGUCCCGCAACGAGCGCAACCCUUGUUCACUGUUGCCAGCACGUUAUGGUGGGGACUCAGUGGAGACCGCCGGGGUCAACUCGGAGGAAGGUGGGGAUGACGUCAAGUCAUCAUGCCCCUUAUGUCCAGGGCUUCACGCAUGCUACAAUGGCUGGUACAGAGAGUGGCGAGCCUGUGAGGGUGAGCGAAUCUCGGAAAGCCGGUCUCAGUUCGGAUUGGGGUCUGCAACUCGACCUCAUGAAGUCGGAGUCGCUAGUAAUCGCAGAUCAGCAACGCUGCGGUGAAUACGUUCCCGGGGCU
rnacentral:rRNA from 1 species